rnacentral:snRNA from 1 species
GGAUGUGAGGAGCAUCUGUCUGUAAUAUCUGUCACCCCACUGAUCUCCAGGGUUGAUGGGGCCGCUCUGGCUGACAGGGCAGGUGUUACCUUCCUCCUCUAUUGAACUACGUGCAGCCUUCUCAAAGCUGUGCACUUGGUGGGAGAUGUCAAUCUGGGUCUUUGUUCAAUGGUAUACGAGUAGAUGGGUUCUCUGCUAGAACCUCAGACAAGCUCUCAAGGAAUGGAUUGGAUUCAAGGUCUGUUAUCGUCAGAUGGAAGGUGCCAUAGGUGA